AGAACUGUGAGGCGACGUAAAGCACGGAGAUGCGCAGAAAACAGUGGUGCUGACACGCAGAAAUCUGGAGGCGUGUCGCGUUUUUUUUGUUUGUUUAUUUUGUAUUUUCUUUAAUAAAGCUUAAUUAAGAUUAAAGUUAUUUUAGGUUUUAGUUAUUUUAGUCACUGUAUGCUUUAUCUCUGAUUUGUCUUUGGUUGGGCCUUCAUUGCUUCGUGUAGCUCGUCUCACGCGUUGCUGUUUUGAGUCGACAGCGUUUUGACAGUCGCUCUCACCGUGUCGCAAGUAGCGUUUGGUUAGCCAUCGAGCUAGUCCCCCGUGAAUUGCUAGCUACCGUUAUUAGUAACGGGUAAAGCCAUUCGGAGGGGUGGUUGACGAGAGGUAGCUAACGUUAGCGAGCAAAACCGCAUAUCUGCAUUUCGUCAAUGGGCUCAUGAUAACAGGUGUUGUAGCUAACGUUAGGUAGUCGAAUGAGCAGCUGUGACCUGACACCUGGUUGACAGCUACAGACGGAAGAAAAGGCUAAACCUGCUUGCUGCGUAUUGUUGUCAGUGUGAGCUGUCCAUAUUAAACAGUCGGGAACUCGGCACCGGCAGCUGUUCGCCUGUCUGUGUACAAAGCAAAGCAGUCGGCACCGUUCGCUGCCUUUCGACUCGAAACAACCCCCUCGUCAAAAAAUAAGAAGCUUUCAUCUAGAGAAGACUCACUCUCUUAACGGUAGGCAAGUUGAGAACAAGUUCUCAUUUACAACUGCGACCUGGAGAUGGCCUUGAUCUGAAGCAUUUCAGAGGAUUCUCAAUGAAUUGUGAAUAAAAGCAGUACAAAACAACAACAUUACCACUCACUCAUUGUUUUGAUGUUGGGUAAACAUCACCAACAACAAUGCAACAGGAUACUUAGUCUUCUGGUCUCAGUGUUGAGGAGUUGUGAACUACAUCUAAUUCAACUAGUAAUAUAACUAUACUGAACAAUUUUUUUUUUUAAAUACAACAAUUUCAAAGAUUUUUCUGACUUACAGUUCAUAGCAGUAAAUUGAAAUAAAGUAAUUAGGCACUCAUCUAUGGAUUUCACAUGACUGGGCAGGGAUGCAGCCAUGGGUGGGCCUAUGCCCUCCCACCCAGUGGGGAGCCAGGCCCAGCCAAUCAGAAUGAGUUUUUCCCACAAAAUAACUUUAUUACAGACAGAAACACUCAGACGAGGCUGCAGGUGAAUUGGCUGGAUGUGGAGGUUCCGGUGCUGGCGUGGUCUGUGGUUGUGAGGCCGUUUGGACAUACUGCCAAUUUCUCUAUAACGACGUUGAAGGCAUCUUAUGGUAGAGAAAUGAACAUUAAAUUCUCUGGCAACCACUCUGGUGGAUAUUCCUGCAGUCAGCAUGCCAGCAUACAUUGUUCCUGUACCCAAGAAGGCAAAGAUAACUGAACUAAAUGACUAUCGCCCCGUAGCACUCACUUCUGUCAUCACGAAGUGCUUUGAGAGGCUAGUCAAGGAUCGUAUCACCGCCACCCUAGACCUACUUCAGUUUGCAUACUGCCCCAACAGGUCCACAGAUGAAGCAAUCGCCAUCACACUGCCCACUGCCCUAUCCCAUCUGGACAAAAGGAAUCAAAUCAAAAUCAAAUCAAAUCAAAUGUAUUUAUAUAGCCCUUCGUACAUCAGCUGAUAUCUCAAAGUGCUGUACAGAAACCCAGCCUAAAACCCCAAACAGCAAGCAAUGCAGGUGUAGAAGCACGGUGGCUAGGAAAAACUCCCUAGAAAGGCCAAAACCUAGGAAGAAACCUAGAGAGGAACCAGGCUAUGUGGGGUGGCCAGUCCUCUUCUGGCUGUGCCGGGUGGAGAUUAUAACAGAACAUGGCCAAGAUGUUCAAAUGUUCAUAAAUGACCAGCAUGGUCGAAUAAUAAUAAGGCAGAACAGUUGAAACUGGAGCAGCAGCACAGUCAGGUGGAAGUUGAAACUGGAGCAGCAGCAUGGCCAGGUGGACUGGGGACAGCAAGGAAUACCUAUUUAAGAAUGCUGUUAAUUGACUACAGCUCAGCAUUCAACACCAUAGUACCCUUCAAGUUCAUCAUCAAGCUGGAGGCCCUGGAUCUGAACCCCGCCCUGUGCAAACUGGGUCGUGGACUUGCUGACGGGCUGCCCCUAGGUGGUGAAGGUAGGAAACAACAUCUCCACUUUACUGACCCUCAACACAGGAGCCCCACAAGGGUGUGUGCUCAGCCCUCUCCUGUACUCCCUGUUCCACCCAUGACUGCCUGGCCAUGCACGCCUCCAACUCAAUCAUCAAGUUUGCAGAUGACACAGCAGUAGUGGGCUUGAUUACCAACAACGACGAGACAGCCUACAGGGAGGAGGUGAGGGCACUCGGAGUGUGGUGUCAGGAAAACAACCUCUCACUCAACACCAAUAAAAUAAAGAUGAUCGUGGACUUCAUGAAACAGCAGAGGGAGCAGCCCUGCAUCCACAUUGAAGGGUCAGCAGUGGAAAAGGUGGAAAGUUUUAAGUUCCUGGGUGUACACAUCACAGUCAAACUGAAAUGGUCCACCCACGCAGACAGUGUGGUGAACCUCAGGAUUGCUGAAGAAAUGUGGCUUGUCACCCAAAACCCUGACAAUUUUACAGAUGCACAAUCGAGUGCAUCCUGUCGGGCUGCAUCACCAGCACGGCAACUGCUCCGCCCACAACCGUAAGGCUCUCCAGAGGGUAGUGAGGUCUGCACAAAGCAUCCCUGGGGGCAAACUACCUGCCCUUCAUCAUACUGCGCCCAAUGUCACAGGAAGGCCAAAAACAUCAUCAAGGACAACAACCAUCCGAGCCACUGCCUGUUCACACCACUAUCAUCCAGAAGGCGAGGUCAGUACAGGUGCAUCAAAGCGGGGACCGAGAGAUUUGAGAAACAGCUUCUAUCUCAAGGCCAUCAGACUGUUAAACAGCCACCACUAACACAGAGAGGCUGCUGCCUACAUUGAGACCCAAUCACUAGUCACUUUAAACAACGGCACUUUAAAU
ensembl:lncRNA